AGGCUAUUAUUAAAAACAGAUAGGAGUGAUCUUUACACUGACUGUAUAGAAAAAGGAGGUACAGUAAAUGCUCCCCAUAUACACCUCAAACCAGACCCUUUGCCUGGUCUGUGUUGUGAAUGGGGGGGAGGAC